AACCAUAGUUUCAUAAAACCUUCUUAGAGUUAAAUCAUCGAGCCAUCAAAGCUCUUUUAGAAUAACGUCGUGAAAACUCAGAUCUAAUCCAAUCGUUGUUCUCCCCUUUACCCGAGAUCGAAACCUUGGUUGUGCUUCAUAUAUUAGGUUUUUUAGAUCUAAAUAUUUCACAAUCAUUAACCUCGCUUAUCAUUGAUAAGAGUUACGAUCCACCACUUUUAGGUUUUGAAGACCAGAUUUUGAACGUUUCUUGGAAAAAAGCGUAUUCUAAUGAUAUAUUACGAGACCCCAUUGUUUUACAAGUAAGUUUUUUAGCCAUGCAUGAUCAUUUUAACAUGAGAUCUGAAUUGUAGUCUCCAUAAGAAAUCUUAGAAUUGUAAGAUCUGAUGAUCUAAAUCGUUAUUUACCUAUCAUAGUGUCAAGAUUAAACGUCAAUGAUAAAGUUAUAACCAACGAGCGAUGAUGGAUACCUUAUAUAUCAAAUUAUUCUUUGUGAAAUAUCGAAUUCCAAUCAAAUCAACGAAGUACCAAAUAUAUCGAAUUUUAAUCGAAUUGAAUCGCAUGUCCUUGGACGGGAUUUGUUUGAUUGUCAUGGAGCUAGAGCUACUACAUCUGGAGGUCGAAAUCAACCUCCUUAUAUGCUGCAGAAGAUCUGUCUUUAGAGAGAUGAAACUUCAUGAUACGAAUAUCUCCAGUCGCAGUGGUGAUGCCAUACAGACAUGAAAAGACAGCGAUGCUGCUACUAGAUUGGAAUUGUAAAUAAUUCAACUUAUCUAUGCCUUUUGAGGCUGUGACUGAGGAGUAGCUUCAUGAAGAACAAUGUGAAUCAUCAAAACAAAAUGUUAAGCCUUCUCGAAAUCAAAACAUCAACAUGCUCAACAAAUAACUUAUGAGUUUGACGGAAGAGCUGAAGAAGGUGGAUGAAGUUGACAAAGGUAAAUUACCUAUCUCCCCUGCUGAUCUUGAUUUAGAAGAACUUCUAAAAGUGAAGGCUUCAUUGAAAGAGCUCCAUGGUGACAUUGAGGCAGCAUCAUAUUUGAUUCUCCUUGCAAAGAAACCUAUAUAAUCUUAUCGGUGUGACGGAAUAGCUGAAGAAGUUCGAGUAAAUUGACAAAGGCAAAGUCCCUAUUGCCCCUGCUGAUCUUGAUUUAAAGGAACUUUUAAAGUGAAGGCUUCAUUGAAAGAGCUAGAUGGUGACGUUGAGGUCGAAUCAUCUUUGUUUCUCCUUGCAAAGAAACCAAGUAGAUUGCAGCAUAUAAGUCUCAUUGGUUCGGAUUGUAAAGUAUGAGAAAAAUCUAAUGUUAUGAAAACUAAUUACUAAAUAGAAGUUGUGUUGUUCAAUUUUAGAAAUCUAUCUUGAUAAUUCACUCUGUUUUGCAAUUAUUAGUCACAUGUAACGUAUAAUUCCUGAUCAAGGGCUCUGUACAAGUUAUAUGUACCUUUUUCAGAUAUCAUUGUGAGAUCCGUUGAGGAUAAUAUUAUGGGUAAACUUUUUAUAAUAUGAAUGUA